ensembl:ncRNA H36L18.5 ncRNA
GUGGCUUUAUUGAAAACAGAAAAGAGCAACAGUUUUUUUUAAUUCGAAAUGCAAUUUGAAUUAGAAAUUUGUUUCGUUUUUCAACUGUUUGAUGCAUUAGAUUCAACAAUGUCUUUUCCAUCAGCACAUUUUAAGUUUUU